AAAGUUUCUUAUGCUACAGCAAUGGAUUGGUUCAUAGCCGUUUGCUUUGCCUUU
rfam:Oryzias latipes DNA, scaffold223, strain: Hd-rR.